UAAAAAUGCAUUAAUUUGAAUAUUGCAACUUAGGCAGUAAUGUGUGUCACAAAUGAUAUUAUGAUUCUUUAGUAGCAAACUGUUAGGGAUUAUAUAAUUCUGUUUUUUUGGGGGGAUGUGUAUGCACAUGUGUGCACAUGCAUAAUCACAUGUGUGUAUAUUUCAUGCACACUAGAAAUCUACUUUGGGCUGCUUCAUCCUUCGUUUUGUAACAAUGUCUCUUGUUUGGCCUAAUAUCCUUGGGUAGACUUGCUUGCUGGUCAGGGAACCCCAUGUCUUUGCCUGCUCUGUCCUGGGCUUACAAGUGUGCAUGGCCAUGCCUUUUUUGUUUGUUUGUUUAUAAAGUUUUUAAAAAUUUGUCUGUUUUGGAGGUCCAGCUCAGGUUAACCCAAGCUUUCUCUUUACUUAUUAAUUCUGUUUUAUAAAACAGUUGCUUAUAAAUUGUUUGGGGACUGGAGAGAUGGCUCAGCGGUUAGAGUACUGACUGUUCUUCCAGAGUUCAAUUCCCAGGAACCACAUGGUGGCUCACAACCGUCUGUGAUGGGAUCUGAUGCCCUCAGACAUACCUGUCUGAGGAGAGUGACAGUGUACUCACAUACAAUCAAUCAAUCAAUCAAUCAAUCAGCCAAUCUUCAAAAAAGUUUUGCUUGAUCUGACGUAAAAUUGGUUGUGUCCAGCACUGACUUUUUCCCUGUUUGCUUUUUGUUUUUUCAAAUCAGGGUUUCUUUGUGUAACGUCCCUGGCUGUCCUGGAACUCACAUUAUAGACUAGGCUGGCCUCAAACUCACAGAGAUCCACCUGCCUCUUCCUUCCAAGUGCUGGGAUUACAGGCAUGGACCACAUCACAAUAGGAAUUUUUUGCUUUUUGUUAUCUGCCACAGUUAGAGUUGUACACUUUAGAAACAUCUCUAAAUCCAUUUUAUAGAUUUGUUUGCUGGCACGUUUGAUCCCAUUACAGGGGAAGCUGAGACAGGAAGAUCAUGAAUUUCAGGCCAUCCUGGGCUAUAUAUAGGGAGACUGUCACAGUUUGUUUUUAGUCCUCUACAGCUGUUGGUUGUGUGAUCAGCCUUACAGAUUUGUAUUCUUUGUCCCAUGUGCUACUGGGAGAAUGUUUACAUUGUCUAUUUUUUUUUAAUUGCUUUUUUUAUUUUAUGAAUAUGAGUGGUUUACUUGCAUGUAUUUAACUGAAUCAUGUGUGUGCUUGAUGCCCAUGGAGGGCAAAAGAGAAUGUCAAAUUUUCUGGAACUGGACAAUUGUAAGCUGCUGUGUGGGUGCUGGAAAUUGAACCCAGGUCCUCUGGAAGAGCAGUGUGCACUCUUACCACUGAGCCAUCUCUCAAGUCCUACAUUGUCUCCCUUUCUCUUUUUCUUUCUCUCCCUCCCUUUCCCUCUCUCAUGGUUUUUUGUUGUUGUUUCAUGAUCUCUUAAUGUAGCCCUGACUGUCCUGGAACUCAGUAUGUGGACCAGGCUGGCCUGAGACUUACAGCCAUCCUACUCCUCAGUGCUGAGAGUGAGGUGACUCCUACACUGCCUUUAUAAUCCCCAGAAGUGAAGAAAGGGAAGGAAGCCCAGAGCCAAGACGCCUUCACCUGCAUAUGCCCCUUGAUUUGUAGGUUGGUUUUUUCCUCCCUUGCAGUAUGCACUCCAAAUUGUGUAAAAACCUGUCUUUCUACAAUUAAAAGACAUAGGGAAAUGAAGAGCAAAAGGAAAUGUAAGUUUUUAGUUUGUGUUUAACGUAAAAUGGGAAUAAAAAUAGAAUAGUGAAUGAGUUUGUGUGUAAUGUCAGAUUUAGUUUAUCAUGAUAACCAUCAGUGGUGCACCAGAUGUGUUGACUGUAUUUAGCUUCAUAUUAAAUUAAGCACAGCUAGUGGCCUGCAGAGUCCAUCUGUAUAGCUGACUAGGACUUAUGUUUGUUGCUAAUGCUGUUAGAUUUUCUUGCCAUGAUAUUUGGACUUUAAAUUGUUUGUGCAAAGGUGAGUCUUUGUAUUGGAUUGAAAACUGUAUUUUGUAAAUCAGCUGUGCUAAAUAAAGAGGCUUUUAUUUCAAUAGGCAAUCAGUUUUUAUCUUUGGUUACUUAUAAAGGAGUGGAAUCAAAUCAAAUAAAUAAGAUCAGUUAAGGGCUUUUUUGAAGCCUGAAAUCUAGAGAGAGGAAACUAUUACACACAAAUACUAGUUAAACAUGACCUCGGACUUCUUUUGUUAUAUGUAUGUGUGUAUGUGUUUCACAGAUAUGUAUAUGAAAACAACUUACUGAUUUUUGUCACAGAAAUAUGUCAUGGAGCUGAAAAGCUUUUACUUUUAUCAAGAUCAGUGUAAAUCAUUGUCGUGCUUUGUAUGGACCCGGGAUGCUUUGUUUCUUGAUAUCAUUUUAUCAGCAUCACCAGAACCGAGGGCUUUUUCCCCUGGGGUCAGGGCAAAACAUUCUUCUCUGUGUUCCUAGCAAGAGGGUCCUUUGAGAUGGUAGACCUUGCAGAUCACACAGCUUCUCCCAUGUGUGCCUUUCCUAGAACAGCAUUUUGGACAUCUCCGGAAUUAGAUCUAUAAAGCAUGGUUCAUGCCAAAAAUUAUAUCUUGAAAUUUUUAUCAUAAUGUUGCUUUUUAAAGUCCUAAAUGUCCUCUAUUUAAAAUGAAAUUCUUUUGUAUUAACCUUCUUUCAUAUGCUAGCUUUCACCAGACUGCAGGAUUGCCUGAUUUGACUUUCUAAUGUAACUGUAAUGAAUCUUCUGGGAAGCCUAACGAUUGGACACACACAUUCUGCAACUCCAUUGUAAAAUAUUCAGUCAGAUGUUGCUG
rnacentral:lncRNA from 1 species